rnacentral:rRNA from 1 species
AACGAACGCUGGCGGCAGGCUUAACACAUGCAAGUCGAGCGCAUCCUUCGGGGUUAGCGGCGGACUGGUGAGUAACGCGUGGGAAAGUGCCCUCUUCUCCGGAAUAGCCUCGGGAAUAUGAGAGUAAUGCCGUCUAUGAUCGCGCGUGGAAAGAUUUGUAGAAGGAGGAUCGGCCUGCGUUGUAUCAGGAAGAUGGUGGGGUAACGUGCUACAACGCCGACGAUCCGUAGAUGGUUUGAGAGGCUGGUCAGCCACACUGGGACGGGGACACGGCCAAGACUCCUGCGGGAGGCAGCAGUGGGGAAUCUUGGACAAUGGGGGCAACCCUGAACCAGCCAUGCCGCGUGAGCGAUGAAGGCCGGAGGGUUGUAAAGAUCUUUCAGCUGGGAAGAUAAUGACGGUACCAGCAGAAGAAGCCCCGGCUAACUCCGUG